rnacentral:rRNA from 1 species
UGGGGAAUCUUGCACAAUGGGGGCAACCCUGAUGCAGCGACGCCGCGUGAGCGAUGAAGCCCUUCGGGGUGUAAAGCUCUUUCGGCAGGGAAGAUUAUGACGGUACCUGCAGAAGCAGCUGCGGCUAACUACGUGCCAGCAGCCGCGGUAAUACGUAGGCAGCGAGCGUUGUUCGGAGUUACUGGGCGUAAAGGGUGUGUAGGCGGUUGGGUAAGUCUGGUGUGAAAUCUCCCGGCUCAACUGGGAGGGUGCGCCGGAAACUGCAGGACUAGAGUGCGGGAGAGGUGAGUGGAAUUCCUGGUGUAGCGGUGAAAUGCGUAGAUAUCAGGAGGAACACCGGUGGUGUAGACGGCUCACUGGACCGUAACUGACGCUGAGACACGAAAGCGUGGGUAGCAAACAGGAUUAGAUACCCCCGUAGUCC